AUGAUUUUGAUUUGUAUUUAUUUGCUACUUUUGGGACAUUCGUCUGCCCCGGGAGCAGUGUUUCUGAUUUCUUUUGGGAAGAAGACGUCCCUUAUAUGUAAAUUAUCCAUCUGUUUCACUUUGUCAGCUAUUUUUUCCUAUAUUUUGCUGAUCAUUUUAGGAUGGAAUAUUUAUUAA